rnacentral:tRNA from 1 species
ACUUACUUAGUAUACACAUGUACAUUUGACUUCCAAUCAAAAAGAUUGAUUAACAAAGUAAGUA